UUUGGUAGCCCUGGUGAAAAAGGAGACAGAGGUGAUCCAGGGCCAGUUGGAAUACCCAGCCCAGAACCUCCAAUGCUGAACCUUUGGUUCAAAGGAGACAAAGGCUCUCGGGGCUCCACAGGAUCAGAUAGAUUUCCUGGGCCCAGAGGUGACAAAGGAGAGACUGGCCGCCCUGGGCCAGCAGGCCUCCCUGGGGCUCCAGGAUUCCCCAGCACCAUCAAAGGACUUCUUGGAAGGCCAGGUCCCCCUGGAU